ACAUCUUUCCUCUGGCUCUAUUCACCCCAGAGAGUGUCAUUUCAAAAGGAGGGGACUUAGUCCCAGACUAAACUAGAAGCCUGGAGUUCGUCAGAAUCCCUUGGGUUGACUAUGGGAACCAGAGUGGGCUCUUGAUUUGGCAUUAUGUCUGACAUUAGGACUUCAUGAAGAGAAGUCAAAAAAUAUAGCUGAGCCAUCUCACCAAAGCCCCACCUUCUCCACAGGAGUGAUUACUGCAUACUUCUCAGCUAGCUUACAGCCUAUUAGGGCACAAUUUUGAAUAGGUUUCUAGAUCCCAUUAUUUCUAAGGAAAGCACCCCUAGUUAGCUUGCCACCAUUGCCAUGGUUCAAGGGCCAUGGGGACAUUAAUUUUGCCAUCUUUGCCAUGGAUAAGGAGCAGGCCAUCUGCCCUCAGGAACCUCGAAGCUGCAGUACUCUUUGGGUCGUGAGUAAAUGUUCUGCCUUCUCGGAGUGUGGUCCCCGUGUAGACACUCCCAGGGCAUCUCUGCACAAAUGUGUUCCCUCCAGUUCCCUGAGGUGGGAAUGGUGGUUGCCUGCGAUUUGCUUGCUGCCCUUCAGGAACAGACUUGAGCCCCCAAACAGGGGUAAGGCAGGCCAGGGUAACAGUAGCAUCUUUGAUGUUUCUUUCAUCUCUCCCGCUUAUUUUAGGCUCUGUUAUGUCAUUUCUUUAUUUUUAGUUUUAUUUUGAGGCAGGGCUCUCUUGAUGUAGUGACGUGCCUGAAACUCACUAUGUAACUUAGACUGGCUUCAGUCAAAUUCACGGUAACUCUCCUGCCUUUGCCUCCCAAAUGUGGGGAUUAUAGGAGUGAGUCACCAUGCCUGGCCUCCCCGAUUUCAAAUGCACAGCUGGCUUUUGGGUUACGUGUCACACAGGGCUGCUUCUGCACUAGAUACGUGAUGUAAGAGAGCUCUUAGCCCCCACAUGCAGAUCCUGGCUGUGCUUUGGGCUGCACUGUUAACAUUAUAUUUGUUUGGUGAAUUCUGUUACUUCCCUGGCUCUGAUAUCUCCUGUUUUCUCUUCUUAGCAGUAGUUGGGUAGAAGCUAAUCGUAGGCACAGCUGCCUAUUAUCCUUAUGUGUUAGUGGGUCUAAUAAAGACAAAUAAAUAAUACUUUUUUUGCUCUUCUGUCUCCAUUCUGCAACUUUAUUUGUUAGGUGGAAGUUUCUCUCUCUUACUGUUUAUAGAGAAAAGAAGGUGGGGAUUUGCCUGAAGGUGUUAAAUACUUUUGUCAAAGAAUCCAAAAAGGGGUCUGGUAUCAAUUCUCAUUUCACAACGAGGGGAUAGAUGCUGUACUUGGUGUCCUAGCCACCGCUUUAGCACGAGCCAAAAUUUGAGUGACUUCACUCUCACAGUGACCUACACUGUUAAAGAACCUUUCAUCAUGAUCUUCAAAGCCACCUCGGGCCCCGAGAGCCCCUCACAGCCAGGUUGCCCAUCCAGCUCCUUCCCAGUGGCACCCUUGCUGUCUUUCCUUCUGCAGUUUCUGGCGUUUCCUCUUAGCUUUUAAGGAAGCUUUGAAAAUGCCUGAGAGGAUUUUAAUGGGGGGGGGGUGAUGUGUGGAAAUAGUCAUCUUGUUAAAAACGAUUGAAAUGUGGAAGAAUUUACACAAAACAGGGUCGGUGGGGGGCCAGAGAGUUGAGUUUAGUACAUUUCUGAUUAGCAUAACUUUUAGAAAAUGAUACCUGCUUGGAAGCAUCCAAUCUAUAGCCCAAGAGCCAUCUGAGUUUGGCUGAGGACAGAUAUGACUCUGGCCCAACCCAAAAUGAUAAGCUAACUUUAAGCAGUUGUGUUUUCAGCAGGUGUUUGUAGGGUUGGGGUUUUAAAUUUUGUUUUGUUUUUAACUAAUAGCUGAUAGGUGAUCAAAGCUAUUGGGAGGAGGAAUGUGUCCUGGAGCCUCUGGUGACAACACAGGUCGCAUAGGACACUGCUGGCCAGGUCAGAGCUGUUGUGAAAUGCAAAGAAUUCCAAAUAAGGGAGCCGUCGCUCAAGAACUAGUGGUGCUUCAUAUGCUUGUCUAGCAUGGGCUGAUUGAAACUACAGAGCCCGGGGUUGCUUUACUGCCUAGACCAGAAAGGAACUAGCCACACAUCACAGUACACUGCAGUGAUGGCAGGCGAAAAUACACAAGGUCUGGGCACAGCUUUCAGGCAUUUGGGGGUUAAGAUUUUGACUUCGGCUUCUCAACUAGCUGGUCUUCAAUGGGAGUGGAAGACACGGCAGCCACUCAUGAGCCCUGCCUUUCUCUUUAGAAGCCGUCCCUAUUGUCUUUUCCUGUUGUACAUUAUUUAUGCUGGUUACUUCAUUUCCUUGUUCUCUGCCUCCCUCUGGACUAGCGUGCCCAACUAAUUUCUGAAACAGUGCAAAGAGGAGAUUAUUUCAAAAGACAUUCAGAUCAUGACAGUGGCAAGCCUUCCAGUAGAGGGAAAAGAUCUUCAAAACCCUACUCCACCAUUGCGGAAGAGGAAGUGAAUGCACCUGGGUACAGGAAGUCACAGCCAACAAAUGUGCCUAUUCUUCUCACGUUGCCUUCACCUUUGAGAACUACGUAGCCUCUGCUUUUCGAGUAGUUUCUGGUUAGUUUGUUUUUAAUGCGUUACCAAAGCAAUUGACAGAAACGUGGUGUGAACUCUCAAGUCUUAAGAACAAUCUUGUGAUACUGAUCCAGCUUUCUCAAUUUCCCACGCCUUGUACUCAUGAAACAAAUGGCAGCUGUUGUUCUCAAAGCGUGCUGCGUAUUUGAUCAUGGUUGACCUGGUUUUAAUGGUGUGGCUGUUUAGAGACUGAGUUCAUGUCCUCUCCUCUCUGAGUGUAAGAUGUGAUAUUUUUAUUAGCAAAUAUCCUAUUUUCUUGAAGAAAAUAGCUGCGUUUGUGUGGCUUCAUUCGUGUCGCAGAGCUUUCUAUCUGUGCCAUCUGACUCUGGGAGUCCCUUUCUUAUCCCUUGGUGCUUCUGUCGUCCAGCGUGAAGCCGAGGACGCAUGCCUGGUCUCACAGUCUGUGAACUAGUGCUCGGCUCAACUUCCUUCCCCCGAUCCAGAUCCAGGUUCCCCUUCCUGCGUGAGAAUUCUACAAGAGCAGAUAAUUGUAGUGUGCACACCUACUAUCCCAGCCCUUGGCAGGUAGACGCCGGAGGGUCUAGAGAUCAAGGUCAUCCUCAGCUACAGAGAGAGUUGAGAGGAACAGAAAACUCUGUCUCAAAACAAGAAACACAGUUCUUCAGGAAAAAUUUAGCAGUUGCUUGAGAUUUUCCAACUAUGCUGGAAAGAGUUUUUUAAAAGCAGGGCCAGCUAUAGAUUAUUAUGUUAAGAAAAUGCCCUGUUUUCUCUUGGUAGAUAUAAAUCUGCCUGGAGUUUACAAUGGGGAGAUCAUUUCCAAGUUGCAUCUGAAUCUCUAAUCCCACAUCUGUAUGUGUAUUUCAGAGGGUUUGAAAUUUGCAUAUAUACAUAUGCAAAGUUAAAUCUUUGUGUUUGGGGCUCUCUGCAACAUUUAUUUACAAACAAGUUGUAAAUAUGCAAGCCAGUGUUUCCACUUAAUAAGUUAAUGUUCAAUCCAUAUCUUUUAUUCAUCAAUAGCACAUGGGUUGAUAAUAAAUACAUGUAUAGAUAGAUAGACUCGUCCACCAGGACACCUUGGCAUUCUUAACCAUAUUACAUUGGAGGAGUUUAAUCAAACGGUAUGUUUUGUUUUGUUUUGUUUUGUUUUGUUUUUACCUUGUUUUAAAUCAAGGUGCAGGAAUAAGUUCGAGUAAUUAGUGAAAGUCUAAAUUUUAUAAUAUUUUUAAAAAAUUAAUUCUGGACUUUUAAGUUUCAAGCAGGCAUAACUCUAUUUAGACACUCCUUUAAUGGAAGCCUGACAGAAUCUGGUUCUAUAGAAUUGUAAUUAGCAUCUUAAUUGCAUGCAAUCAAAUAGAUGUUCCCUAAGGGCUGGAAAUUGACACAGUAAAGAUCUCUCUUUCUACAAAGCUGUUUGCAUCAAAGAUCAGGACUAAGCAGGCUAGAAGACCAGUUGAGUGCUGAGCUUGGUUCAAGUGUUAGGUGAGGUUCUUCCUGCCUGUUUCCAACAGUAAGGACAUGCCAGCUGCCCUAGGGUCCUUAGCACAUGCAAUCGUAACUUAAUUAUUGGAGGUGAAUGUGCUUAGGAUGAAAUUUACCCCAGGGGUCCUCAGGAUCAAACCCGAGGCCUCACACAAGCUCCACCCCUCUUGUAGAAUGCUUUGUUGACGUUUGAAAUUGGGAUAUUUCCCUCUUAGUCAUCGCCUUGGUUAAACGGUAGUUCUUACUUUUACGGCGCACUCUGACUGUGCUAUCCACUCGAAAGGAGCAGAUUAACUUGGUGAUAUUUGCUCUUCCCUCCUCCCUGCUACCCCAUUUUGCUGCCCCCACAGUUCCCUAACCUGGAGGACUCAAAAACUCAGUAGCAGCUUGGAAGGUCAGUGCCUUUGCUGUAGAUGAAAACACAGGCUGCCUUUUCCAAGAAGAUGCCCAUAUUGUGUCCCUCUAAAUUUCACUCAUGGUUGCUGUUGUGGUCCUGGUCCAUAAGGUUACUUCUGCUUUUACCUGCGACCAAAACUUUUAGUUACACGAGUGUCUCCAUAUUUAGAGAGUACUUUUGUGUCAUCUUAUAUAAGGUGGGUUUGGCCUGAGUUCCCAGGAAGCUAAAGUAUCAGGAAGGAUGAAAAGUUUGAUUAUUCCCUGAAUCUAGGGUCUCAGAUGGUUUCUCUGAAGAGAGAUGAGCAUGACCCCCUCCCGCACCCUGUUUAUCUUCCCUUGAAUCUCCCAUCGCAGUAUUAGACAUUUCUUCCCAUUUGUCUGUUUGUGAAGAAACGAGGUUUUGUUUUAAUUAGAAUGCAGAAGUUCUAGGAGACAGCUCAAGUCCCCUUUACUUUUGUGGUUGGAUUUCUUGUCAGAUAUUCUUGGGAUGGUAUUGGAAGUAUUCUCUGCCCCCUUGUCUUAGCACACACUCAGACUGUAAGCUUAAAGGACUCUGUGGAUGUCAGCAUCAAAUUGGUUUUGUGACGAAGGGCAACAUAUUUAGGGACAUUUAUUUAUCUUUUUUUCCCCUCCAAACCUGACUUAUCAACAGCUUUCAAAGGACCAAUCACACAAGUAAAAAAUUUUUAUCCCAAUAAAAGCUUUUAAAAGCAAUUGUAUCUGUUCCUUAUAUCCCCAACCCCCUCUGAGAAUUUGCCCUAAACCACUGGUGAAAAGAAGUCAGAAGUUUAAGGGACUGGAGAAAUGGCUCAGUACAGUUAGUACUAUAGAUGGCAAGAGUGCUUCUUGCACCCAUUAUCAGGUGACUAAACCCAGCUGAGAAAGUCAGCUGCUUUAUAAUUCAAUUACUUGAUUUUAUAAUGAGAUUGAAAAGGCUGUUUGUGGGUCUCCGCCCUUCAGGAUUUAGUGUAAUUUCAAUUUAAUGUCUUUCCCAGAACUGAAGACUGUGUUCCUGGUUGGGUCUUCUUCUUGAGUGACGGAUUAGUUGUGGGUGUUUUUGGUUUUUUUUUUUUUUUUUUUUUUUUUUUUUUUUUUUUUUUUUUUUUUUUUUUUUUUUUUUUUUUUUUUUUUUUUUUUUUUAGCA